GUCACAAUGUGACGGUAUUGGUGGCCACCAUGUGAGCAAGAUCUCAGUUUGAUCUUCGUUUCUUUGCUAAACAACAGACUACAUUUUGUUUUCUAGUACAUAAUCUCGUUUAAGGGUCAAUCUCCUUUUAUAGCAUUUUCUUUUGUUUUGUAAUCGAUACAUGUGUCUUAGUUUCGACAUGAUCUUGUUCAAAGGUCAUCUCUCAAAUUCACAUAAGCUCAGGCUAUACGCACAAUCUUGUUGAAGAAACUGAAGACGCGUGUGAUCAAUAGUAACUGUAAUCCAGUGUGGAACGAACAACUGACCCUUUCCAUUAAACAUCUGGAUGAUCCAAUCCGUCUGAUAAAGACUGAUUCUCGGGAGAUGACAAAAUGGGUGAUGCGGAAAUAGGCAUAAGUCCUUUCUUAGAAGCCCAUCAGAUGGAGUUAAGAUUUACAUGCAAUCAAGAGGAUCCGUCCAGGAGGGACCAACUGUUUGGCUGAAGAGAGCAGCAUCACUUGGAACAAUGGGGAAGGUCAAACAAGACACGAUUCUUAGACUAAAGAAUGGGGAGCGUGGAGAAAUGGAGAUCAUGCUCGAGUGGACUGAUGGUCCAGGCUACAAGGAUCUCAUGAUCCAAGAAGACACCAUGGAUGCAACUAAGCGAUUGGACUAAGGUGCAGAAAUGUUCAAGAGAGACCUUGAAGAUGUGGUUGUUAUUUUCUUCUUCUCCUCAUGGAAAGACAAGUUUGCCUUUAUUUCUGCUUUGGUCUUUAGCUGUACAUGUUGAAUA